GACGAACGCUGGCGGCGUGCUUAACACAUGCAAGUCGAACGGAAAGGCCCUGCUUGCCGGGUACUCGAGUGGCGAACGGGUGAGUAACACGUGGGUGAUCUGCCCUGCACUUCGGGAUAAGCUUGGGAAGCUGGGUCUAAUACCGGAUAGGAGCCAUCUUUAGUGUGGUGGUUGGAAAGUUUUUUCGGUGUAGGAUGAGCUCGCGGCCUAUCAGCUUGUUGGUGGGGUAAUGGCCUACCAAGGCGGCGACGGGUAGCCGGCCUGAGAGGGUGUACGGCCACAUUGGGACUGAGAUACGGCCCAGACUCCUACGGGAGGCAGCAGUGGGGAAUAUUGCACAAUGGGCGCAAGCCUGAUGCAGCGACGCCGCGUGGGGGAUGAAGGCCUUCGGGUUGUAAACUCCUUUCGCUAGGGACGAAGCUUUGUUGUGACGGUACCUAGAUAAGAAGCACCGGCUAACUACGUG
rnacentral:rRNA from 1 species